GUUUCUAAUGCCUGUACUAGACAAUCUGUGGAUUAAAACAUGUAAAACUGCAGGGGGCAAGGGGUAGAGGAGAAGAUGAGGCCAUACCUGAAGCACUGAGUCUGCUGGGUGGACCCCUGCACUGUGAGACUCUACUGCUACUGUUCCUCCACAGUCCUGCAACUUGGGAUGUAGCCUUCUGUACCCCAUCAGGCAGGCAGGGCACGCUGGAAAGACAACAGGAACAACAACAUAAAUUAAGAGGGGCUGAGGGAUAAUACUGGUAAGAGAGGAUGGGAUCCACCAGUAGUCAGGAGUAUCCCUACCUUUGCAUCUGAGGUAAGAUUAAGAUACUAGGACAUUUAGUUACCUUUCUACUCAAUUU
rnacentral:lncRNA from 14 species